GGCUGACGGGGGAGAAGACAUGGAUCCUUGCGAUCCAGAUCUGUGCUACUUGGAGCCGCUGCGGACUGCCCUUGCCCAAACUAAGGUACACCCCUCUCGCCCCAACCAACCCCACUACUUGCAUACUUUCCCUUACCGAAGAAAUCUUUCAAACUGUGAAUAAAGGGGGGGGGGGGGGGGGAAGACAGGUGACUGAAUGUGUUCAUAUUUUACAUAGAAAAAAAUGUAGGGGAUGACUGAAUGUGUUCCAAUUCUCAUUCAUGGGGAGGGGGUGAAAAAUAACUAGCAAAGAAUAACAUGACUGAAAAAGUGCUAGUACAAUCCUUGUAUGACUGAAAAAAUAAUAAUUGGAGGAUUAGAAUCUUACGUGCAUAGAAAGAAUGAAGACUGACAUUGACCAACUGAAAAAAAAACUACACAUGGAGACUGCAGACUCCAUCCCCUAAGAUAACAUGUCCCCCCUGUGUGGUUGAUUCAACAAACAAACAAAAGCUUAUUCAUGUUAGAGUAUUGAAUUUCAGAUAGUUGAUAGAGCGAACAGUCACAUAACUCAGGCUUAAAAACUGAAAAACAGUGAAUAUCAUGAGGGGAAUGGAGCACAUGCUGAUACUAGAGCUAUGAAAUUCAGAUAUUUAAAUAGAUCCAAUUUCAGGUUUAGUACUGUUACUAAAAACUGACAUACAUAAAAAAAUAAGAUAAGAGACUAAUGAGAUACUGAAAAAACUUGCAACGCAGGGUUCCGUUGCUACAGGUGGAGAACACACAUCUGAAACAAAUAAAAGAAGCAUGCAGGCUGAACCGGGCGAAGCAUCUGAGGGUGAUGCUGCUUACGAUCCAUAGCACAACCACCUGGAGCCACCCCCAAGGGAAUCAUCUGAGGUAACAACACACUACCCUCCCUCCCCUUAAUUUUCAUUUAUACAUACAUGCUUCACUUAUGUGAUCAGCUUACUUGUGAAUCAUUUUAUACAUAAGAAAAGUGUAUUAGCUAGAUAAAGCUUGUGUCCCUGUUGUUCCACUUUGCAGAGAUGAUCUCAAUAAAAAACAUGAUCACCUUCCUGUAGAAAAAUGGAAGAAACUGUAGACCAACUGAAUGCAGGCUACCACUUUCUAUGUUUAUUUUAGGAGAUAAGGUUUUUCUACUCAUAUGGUUUGGCAUUAAAAAGAACAAACUUCAAGAAAUGGGUGUGCUCUCUCUAAAUAUGACUCAUGAUGGAUCAAAGACUGACCUACUGAAACUAAAACAGAGAGAAAUCAAAACAAAAAACAAACUGAAGCUAACUAUAACAUGACUGAACAUAGGAAGAUAAAAAUACAAGACUGAAAACGGACACUAAAAUUAAAGAGACAAUGAUAGAAAAAGUACAUGAAUACCGGAGACUGAACAGAACUAAAUACUAAAUUAUCUGAUAAAUUCAUACUAAAAACUAAAGCAAUAAUACUAACUACAACAUGACUGAAAGCUAACUAUGACUGAUGACUGAAUACUAACUACAACAUGACUGAACAUAGGCAGAUAAAAAUACAAGACUGAAUACUAACACUACAAGAUAGAAAAAAUUACAUGAGGACUCAAUGCCCGACAAGUUAGACUGAGCAGAACUGAAUACAAAUAUAUCUGAUAAACUAAUACUAAAAACUAAAGCAACAAUGAUAGAAAAUGUAAACUGAAAAAUGAAAAAUGACAAGUUACACUGAUCACUAAAAAAAUCAACACUAAAAAAAUAAUGAACAAGCACAGAGACAACAAUGAUAGAAAAUGUAAAAUGAAAAAUGAAAAAUGGCAAGUUACACUGAUCACUCAAAGAAUCAACACGAAAAAAAAUAUGAACAAGCACAGAGACUGACCAAAUCUGAAUACGAUAACAAUAAACUGACAUAAUGACCGAAUAACUGAAAACUACAGAAAACUGAAACCUGAAUAAGAAUGAAAAUGCCAAUAAACCUAAAGAUGCACUGGUGAAGACUGAAACUGAUAACUUAAAAUAAUACAACACAAAACUGAACCAAAAAUGACACAUAACAACGAAAAUACUGACAUAUACUGAAAUGUAAAUACUAUAUGAUGGACUGAAAUAAUAAAUAAUGAGGCUGAAUACUCCAGCGCUAAGGAUUGAUCAAAAAAUAACCGAUCGCUGGCCUGCGAGCCGUAGAACUGAUGAAAAGAGACUAAUGAAAUAAACACUUAUGAAAAGGUAGUGAACAACACUCAGAAAUGAACUAAAUUAUCUGAAUAACUGAUAAUGACUGAACAACAUAGGACAUAAUGAAACAGUGAUGACUGAUGAAAAGAGAAUAAUGAAAUAAAAACACCGAAAUAAUGAUGAAAAGGUACUGAACAAAUAAUGAUAAUGAAAACUCCGUCAAAAAGGAAAACGGAAAAAUGACAAACUGAAAAAAAAAACAAAUGAGAACCUGAUAUGUUCAUAUUCUAUUCAUAUCUCUUAUUCAGUUCAUAUUCUAUCUCUUAUUCAGUUCAUAUUCUAUCUAAAAAAAUCGCUGGAUUUUACAGGUCAAUGGAAGUGCGAAUGAGGGCAUGCAAGUGUGUUCAUGG
rnacentral:lncRNA from 1 species